GAUGAACGCUAGCGGCAGGCCUAAUACAUGCAAGUCGAGCGGCAAGUUGAGAAGCAAUUCGAGACCUAGAGCGGCGUACGGGUGCGUAACGCGUAUGCAACCUACCUCAUACAGGGGGAUAGCCCGGAGAAAUCUGGAUUAAUACCCCAUGGUACAGCACGAGGGCAUCUGAGUGUUGUUAAAGAUUCAUCGGUAUGAGAUGGGCAUGCGUCUGAUUAGCUAGUUGGCGGUGUAACGGACCACCAAGGCGACGAUCAGUAGGGGUUCUGAGAGGAAGGUCCCCCACACUGGCACUGAGAUACGGGCCAGACUCCUACGGGUGGCAG
rnacentral:rRNA from 1 species